rnacentral:RNase_P_RNA from 1 species
UGAGCCGGCCGGGUGGUCGCGGGCCUGAUAAGGGUCUGAGGAAGGUCGGGGCUCCAUAGGGAAGGAUGCUGGCUAACAGCCAGGCGAGGCGACUCGACGGAAAGUGCAACAGAGAGUAGACCGCCUCGGCCCCUACGGACCGAGGUAAGGGUGAAACGGUGCGGUAAGAGCGCACCAGCGGUGGGAGAAAUUCUGCCGGCUAGGUAAACCCCAUCCGGAGCAAGGUCAAGGUGAGGGAUUAGUGCCCGCUACGGCCCUUUUGGGCCACCCUCAGGUGGACUGCAUAGAUGGAUGGCCACACAGGUCGCACGGCGACUGGACAGAACCCCGCCUACAGGCCGGCUCAGCGC